rnacentral:rRNA from 1 species
UGGGGAAUUUUGGACAAUGGGCGCAAGCCUGAUCCAGCAAUGCCGCGUGCAGGAUGAAGGCCUUCGGGUUGUAAACUGCUUUUGUACGGAACGAAAAGCCUCUCUCUAAUACAGGGGGGUGAUGACGGUACCGUAAGAAUAAGCACCGGCUAACUACGUGCCAGCAGCCGCGGUAAUACGUAGGGUGCAAGCGUUAAUCGGAAUUACUGGGCGUAAAGCGUGCGCAGGCGGUUUUGUAAGACAGUGGUGAAAUCCCCGGGCUCAACCUGGGAACUGCCAUUGUGACUGCAAGGCUGGAGUGCGGCAGAGGGGGGAUGGAAUUCCGCGUGUAGCAGUGAAAUGCGUAGAUAUGCGGAGGAACACCGAUGGCGAAGGCAAUCCCCUGGGCCUGCACUGACGCUCAUGCACGAAAGCGUGGGGAGCAAACAGGAUUAGAUACCCUGGUAGUCCACGCCCUAAACGAUGUGCAACUGGUUGUUGGGGAUUUAUUUCUUCAGUAACGAAGCUGAACGCGUGAAGUUGACCGCCUGGGGGAGUACGGCC